CGAGGUGUAGCGCAGUUGGUAGAGCGCCUGCUUUGGGAGCAGGAGGCCGCGAGUUCGAGUCCCGCCACUUCGACCA
rnacentral:tRNA from 2 species